rnacentral:rRNA from 1 species
UAAUACGUAGGGUGCAAGCGUUGUCCGGAAUUAUUGGGCGUAAAGAGCUCGUAGGCGGUUUGUCGCGUCUGCUGUGAAAAUCCGAGGCUCAACCUCGGACCUGCAGUGGGUACGGGCAAACUAGAGUGCGGUAGGGGAGAAGGGAAUUCCUGGUGUAGCGGUGGAAUGCGCAGAUAUCAGGAGGAACACCGAUGGCGAAGGCACUUCUCUGGGCCGUAACUGACGCUGAGGAGCGAAAGCGUGGGGAGCGAACAGGAUUAGAUACCCUGGUAGUCCACGCCGUAAACGGUGGGUGCUAGUUGUGGGCCACAUUCCACGUGGUCCGUGACGCAGCUAACGCAUUAAGCACCCCGCCUGGGGAGUACGGUCGCAAGACUAAAACUCAAAGGAAUUGACGGGGGCCCGCACAAGCGGCGGAGCAUGCGGAUUAAUUCGAUGCAACGCGAAGAACCUUACCAAGGCUUGACAUAUAGAGGAAAAGCGUAGAAAUACGCUCCCCGCAAGGUCUCUAUAC